CUCAAAAUCUACAUUGAGUCCCCUACGGGACAAAGUACCCAGAUUGAAAAUCCAUCGACUUUCAAUUUUGUUGAGUUCCUUAAAAUUGUCCUCCCCCAUCCAAUUGACAUUCUUUUUGAAAAAGGCCAUAAAACCCAAGAGAGAGGGGUCACUGUUAUGUUCAUCCAAAAAAAAUGUGCUGACAUACUAUGUUUUGAGAACCCCCUCUGAAUGUUUCCCAUGUGCUCCAGUAUGCAGUAUAUUCCAAAAG